GACGAACGCUGGCGGCGUGCUUAACACAUGCAAGUCGAACGGAAAGGCCCUGCUUUUGUGGGGUGCUCGAGUGGCGAACGGGUGAGUAACACGUGAGUAACCUGCCCUUGACUUUGGGAUAACUUCAGGAAACUGGGGCUAAUACCGGAUAGGAGCUCCUGCUGCAUGGUGGGGGUUGGAAAGUUUCGGCGGUUGGGGAUGGACUCGCGGCUUAUCAGCUUGUUGGUGGGGUAGUGGCUUACCAAGGCUUUGACGGGUAGCCGGCCUGAGAGGGUGACCGGCCACUUGGGACCGGAGAUCGGGCCCAGACUCCACCGGAGGGAAGAAGUGGGGAAUAUUGCCAAAGGGGCGGAGCCGUGUGGCGGAACGGCCGCGUGGGGAAUGACGGCCUUGGGGUUGUAAACCCCUUUCGCUUGUGACGAGGCGUAAGUGCCGGUAAUGGGAAAAAAAACCCCGCUUAACUACGU
rnacentral:rRNA from 1 species